rnacentral:rRNA from 1 species
UGCCAGCCGCCGCGGUAAUACGUAGGGGGCAAGCGUUACUCGGAUUAACUGGGCGUAAAGCGAGUGUAGGCGGUCUUGUAAGUCAGGGGUGAAAUCCCUCAGCUCAACUGAGGAAUUGCCUUUGAUACUGCUCGACUAGAGGACAGGAGAGGAAAGUGGAAUUCCCGGUGUAGCGGUGGAAUGCGUAGAUAUCGGGAGGAACACCAGAGGCGAAGGCGGCUUUCUGGACUGAUCCUGACGCUGAGAUUCGAAAGCUAGGGGAGCAAACAGGAUUAGAUA